UCGGAAUUACUGGGCGUAAAGCGUGCGCAGGCGGUUCGUUAAGUCAGAUGUGAAAGCCCCGGGCUCAACCUGGGAACUGCAUUUGAAACUGGCGGGCUUGAGUAUGGCAGAGGGGGGUGGAAUUCCGCGUGUAGCAGUGAAAUGCGUAGAGAUGCGGAGGAACACCGAUGGCGAAGGCAGCCCCCUGGGACGUGACUGACGCUCAUGCACGAAAGCGUGGGGAGCAAACAGG
rnacentral:rRNA from 1 species